GUCUACGGUCAUGCUACCCUGAACAAGUCUGAUCUUGUUUGAUCUUGGAAGCUAAGCAGGGUCGGGCCUGGUUAGUACUUGGAAGGGAGACCACCUAGGAAGACCAGGUGCUGUAGGCG
rnacentral:rRNA from 1 species